AGCGAACGCUGGCGGCAGGCCUAACACAUGCAAGUCGAACGAACCUUUCGGGGUUAGUGGCGGACGGGUGAGUAACACGUGGGAACGUGCCUUUAGGUUCGGAAUAACUCAGGGAAACUUGUGCUAAUACCGAAUGUGCCCUUCGGGGGAAAGAUUUAUCGCCUUUAGAGCGGCCCGCGUCUGAUUAGCUAAUUGGUUGAGGUAAUGGCUCACCAAGGCGACGAUAAGUAGCUGGUCUGAGAGGAUGAUCAGCCACAUUGGGACUGAGACACGGCCCAAACUCCUACGGGAGGCAGCAGUGGGGAAUCUUGCGCAAAGGGCGAAAGCCUGACGCAGCCAUGCCGCGUGAAUGAUGAAGGUCUUAGGAUUGUAAAAUUCUUUCACCGGGGACGAUAAUGACGGUACCCGGAGAAGAAGCCCCGGCUAACUUCAUGCCAGCAGCCGCAGUAA
rnacentral:rRNA from 1 species